UCCUGACCCGAAACCGAAAAGCUCAAUUGAAUCAGCAAAUCAAAAUCGAUUGAAACGGUGAAACUUGAAAGUGAAACCCUAGUCUUCUUCUUCUUCUUCUUCUUCAUCUUCACUCCAGUCUUCUUCUUCUUCAUCGUCGCUCAUCAUCAGUCAGUGAUUUCUGCUAGAGGCCAAGCUUCCUCUUCUCCUUCUGUCUCUUCUUAGCUUCUCCUCGUCCAGACGUAGCAAAGCGACGACCCGGGAACGAAUUCCUCACCGGUAGGGGAACAGGAGACGGCCAUGUCGAGGCACAUCAGCUCCUGAAACGGCAGGGGGCCAGAGUCCAGACGCAGCAGAGCUUCCUCUUCCUCUUCUCCUUCGAGGCAUAUCUUGACCUGAAAAGGGAAGAAGAGCGAUCGCGAGUUUGAGAGAUAGAGAGAAAGGGGGCGAGAGAGAGAUCGAUCGAUCGAUCAGAAAGAAAAAGGUCAGUGAACGAGUGAUUUAUUGGAGAAAUUUUAUCUUUUAAUUCUGCCCUUAACCUUGUUUUAAGCUAUAGUUUGCAAACGAAUCGGAGUGACAGGGAUGGAGGCAACGGUGAGUUUGAUUUGGAACAUAUUUGAUUAAAUGCCCGUGUGUGAGAAAGAGGUGUUGUCGGUUACAUGUGAGAAAGAGGUGUUGUCGUUGCCUGCACUGGUGCCUCAAUGGAGCGGAAGCUUGUGGUGAGUCCCUAUCCCUUGUCCAUUGUUCACUGCUGUCUAGGAGGUGGUCAUUUUUCAGGUAAUAGGAAUUGGCAGCAAUAUAGGUGAAGAUCUCAGUUUGUUGUAUUGCUUUUAGAAGUUCAUUAUGCGGAGGAAAUGGGAGGUGGUCCCUCUUUUGGUUUUUUCUCGAGCUGUAAGCUAGACUCUUGGCUAGAUGUAUUUCGGUUUGGACAAAUGUAGAGGUUUAUCUCAUCGAUCUGAUAUGGAAUUAAAUUGAUUAUUUAUUUAUAAAAAUUAUUGUUGAGUAAUUUCAUAA